rnacentral:rRNA from 1 species
GAUGAACGCUGGCGGCGUGCCUAAUACAUGCAAGUCGAGCGAACAGACGAGGAGCUUGCUCCUCUGACGUUAGCGGCGGACGGGUGAGUAACACGUGGAUAACCUACCUAUAAGACUGGGAUAACUUCGGGAAACCGGAGCUAAUACCGGAUAAUAUAUUGAACCGCAUGGUUCAAUAGUGAAAGACGGUUUUGCUGUCACUUAUAGAUGGAUCCGCGCCGCAUUAGCUAGUUGGUAAGGUAACGGCUUACCAAGGCAACGAUGCGUAGCCGACCUGAGAGGGUGAUCGGCCACACUGGAACUGAGACACGGUCCAGACUCCUACGGGAGGCAGCAGUAGGGAAUCUUCCGCAAUGGGCGAAAGCUUGACGGAGCAACGCCGCGUGAGUGAUGAAGGUCUUCGGAUCGUAAACCUCUGUUAUUAGGGAAGAACAAAUGUGUAAGUAACUAUGCACGUCUUGACGGUACCUAAUCAGAAAGCCACGGCUAACUACGUG